rnacentral:rRNA from 1 species
GAUGAACGCUGGCGGUAUGCUUAACACAUGCCAGUCGAACGGACUCUUCGGAGUUAGUGGCGGACGGGUGAGUAACGCGUGAGAAUCUGGCUUUGGGUUCGGGACAACCACUGGAAACGGUGGCUAAUACCGGAUGUGCCGAGAGGUAAAAGAGAAAUUGCCUGAAGAUGAGCUCGCGUCUGAUUAGCUAGUUGGUGAGGUAAAGGCUCACCAAGGCAGCGAUCAGUAGCUGGUCUGAGAGGAUGACCAGCCACACUGGGACUGAGACACGGCCCAGACUCCUACGGGAGGCAGCAGUGGGGAAUUUUCCGCAAUGGGCGAAAGCCUGACGGAGCAAUACCGCGUGAGGGAAGAAGGCUCUUGGGUUGUAAACCUCUUUUCUUAGGGAAGAACAAAAUGACGGUACCUAAGGAAUCAGCAUCGGCUAACUCCGUG